rnacentral:lncRNA from 1 species
AUGUGUCACCUUGAGGAGCGUCCCAUCAAAGCAAUGGUCGCAUUGACAAGCUGCAAAGAAAAAAAGUUAAACCUUCAGCGACGUGGACCUGCCUGCAGAUGUAUUCUUCCCCUUGAGGAGGGGCAAGGCGAAGGAUCCGUCGUGCCCUCCUGCCUCCGACCUCCCCCCGGUUCCAGGGCCGCUCCCUGCUUCUGGGUUGCGGGGCGCCGCCUAGGCCCGCGCGCGGGGCAACCUGGAGAAGCUGCACCCGUGCGCGAUGAGGACAAGGGCACGCGCGCCAGAUGGACGCCCUUGGGUCAGAUGCCAGGAAUUCGCCCACUCGCGGUGGGGGUGCCGCCGGGCGGGCCUCCCCCGGCCUCCUCUCCGCUCCCCAACUCUCGCCUUCCUUCGCGGGGUCUCCCCGCGUCUCCCGCGCCAGGGUGGACACCUCCGCGUCCCUUUGCAGUGGGGGACGCGCCGGAGCGCCCACACCCUCCUCGGCUCGCCCCCUCCCGUCCUUUUCGUGGUGUGGGCCCGGGCCCCGCCGCCCCUGUGAACCGCCUGCCCCCGCGCGGAGGCGGGGGCCGGGGAGAGGGGGGCGGGCACUUUUCAAUGUCGCGCCGCAGCUCCCUCCAGAUUUGUAAUCCGCCAAAAAGCCGCUGAUUGCUGCAAUCGUUACUUUUCAUUAAAAAAACUUAGAAGCAAUUUGGGAGAACUCUUCUCAAUGAAUACAUUUACCCCCGAACGGUCUUUAUUCUCCGCCUCCACUUGAUGAGUUUCUGUGGCACGAAUCCGUUCUUACAGGCACAGAAUGGGCAAUCCCUUGAUCCCCGUCAAUUGUCAUCCCGAGUCGGGGCCACUUUGACCGCCAAUAGCGGGGAAGUCAGAGCUAAUCCUCAGAAGGAAUCACGGGAAAAGAAAAGCAACAAUAACCAAGUCAAGCGUAAAAAAUGAAAGAGAAAUCUCUAUUAUCACUCACUACAUUUCCCAGCUAUGUACUGAAAAAAUCAGCUCGCUUGUCAUUCGAGUCAGACACCCGCACAAGAAUAUGGGGUCGUGGUGGGUUGGUAGACUCACACGACGUAAGGAGCGAUGUUUGAGAGUGGAGGGCCCCUCUCCUGCCUCUGCCAAAUCCCCCUCGCAUCCGCCAUAACCAUUAAAUACAGACUGACUUUAUUCUGUGGGGAGGCCGGGCUGGGUAGGGGGGGAGCCCCAGCUGUGCACCGACCCACAAGAGUCCCCUGG